rnacentral:rRNA from 1 species
GAGUAAAGAUUUCGGUCGCUUUGGGAGGAGCUCGCUUACUAUCAGCUUGUUGGUAGGGUAAUGGCCUACCAAGGCUAUGACGGUUAGGGGGUGUGAGAGCAUGACCCCCAGCAUUGGCACUGAAACACUGGCCAAACACCUACGGGUGGCUGCAGUCGAGAAUCUUCCACAAUGGGGGAAACCCUGAUGGAGCGAUGCUGCGUGCGGGAUGAAGGCCUUCGGGUUGUAAACCGCUUUUGUAGGGGACGAAAUUUUUGACGGUACCCUUUCGAAUAAGAGGUUGCUAACUCUGUGCCAGCAGCAGCGGUAAUACAGAGACCUCAAGCGUUAUCCGGAUUUACUGGGCGUAAAGCGUCUGUAGGGGGUUUAUUAAGUUCCAAGUAAAAUUUCAAGGCUCAACUUUGAAUUCGCUUGGAAAACUAAUAAACUGGAGUCUAGCAGAGGUGCAUGGAACUUGUGGUGUAGGAGUGAAAUCCGUUGAUAUCACAAGGAACACCAAAGGCGAAGGCAUUGCACUGGGCUAGCACUGACCCUGAGAGACGAAAGCGUGGGGAGCAAAACGGAUUAGAUACCCGUGUAGUCCACGCCCUAAACGAUGAAUGCUAAAUGUUCGGGGAUUCGACCCCCUGGGUGUUACAGCUAACGCGUUAAGCAUUCCGCCUGGGAAGUACGGCCGCAAGGCUAAAACUCAAAGGAAUAGACGGGGAUCCGCACAAGCGGUGGAGCGUCUGGUUUAAUUCGACAGUAAGCGUGGUACCUCACCAGGGUUUGACAUCCCUUGACAGCCUUGGAAACAAGGUUUCCUUCGGGCAAGGUGACCGGUGCUGCAUGGUCGUCGUCAGUUCGUGCCGUGAGGUGUUCCGUUAAGUCGGGAAACGAACGAAACCCCUAUUGCAUGUUACAAUUUCUCAUGCAAGACUGCCCGGAUAUACUGGGAGGAAGGUGGGGAUGACGUCAGAUCUGCACGGUCCUUAUACCCUGGGCGACACAGGCGCUACAAUGGCAGAGACAAAGGGUUGCAAAACCGCAAGGUGAAGCUAAUCCCAAAAACUUCGUCUAAGUUCGGAUUGAAGGCUGCAAUUCGCCUUCAUGAAGCUGGAAUCGCUAGUAAUCGUGAAUCCGCCACGUCACGGUGAAUAUGUUCCCGGAUCUUGCACUCACCGCCCGUCACACCAAGAGAGUUGGUAGCUCCCGAAG